rnacentral:lncRNA from 1 species
UUCAGAAGAAGUGAAUCAACUUGUUAUGCCUUUUAAUGCAAAUGUGAAGACUAUGAUUAACAAUCUUAAUGCCAAUCUUCCUGGUGCAAGAUUCACCUUCAUUGACAUUGCCCGCAUGUUUGAAGAUCUCCUCACCAAUUAUAGAUCAUACGGUAUGCAAUUUUCCCACUAAACAUAUCGUAUUGUAGUUAGAUAUGAUGUGUGCUGUCUAGCCUAAAAUCUUUUAUUUUAAAAUGUGCGGACACUGACAAAAGAUAAUAAAGAUUUCGUCCUCAUAUUUUAAAAUCAAGGAACAAUUUACAGUGGCUGAACUAGGAUUUUGAUUUGACAAGCACGGCCUAGAGGUGGAAAUAACGGAGAAAUUAUCGUCUUGCUGUGCUACAAUAAAAGCAAGACAUUUUAAUACAGCAGUUAAAUAAGUGCAUAAAAUAAGCAAAAUUUUACUUAAUAGAAUAAUGUUUAUGAUCACUUUUUUUUAAUCCAAAAUAAUUCUACAGGAUUCAGUGUAAUAGAUCGAGUGUGCUGUGGCAUUGGACGAAACGGAGGCCAAAUUACAUGUCUUCCAUUCCAAACACCAUGUGCAAAUCGAGAACAAUACGUUUUCUGGGAUGCAUUUCACCCAACAGAAGCUGUGAACAUUAUGUUUGGAAGAAAAGCUCUCUAUGGUGACCAGAGCGUUGUUUAUCCCAUGAACAUCCAGCAGCUUGCCAGUCUUUAAACUUAGAAAUUAAAGGUACAUAUAUGUUAUUGUAAUGUUUCUUGCUUGCUUAAUUGCUUUGCAUAACUGUUGGGAUUAUAUGCUCUUUUAAAGCAUAUUAAUUUAUUUUCUGAUUAAUAAAAUAUUUGAGAUAUUUUCAAUUGCAUAAAUAUUUUGAAUAAGGUCCGUUUAAUCAUAUUAUAUGUAUUUAUGUGAUCAUCAUAUAAAUUCACAGAAGAUAUAAAUACAAGUUAUCUUAUGAUUAAAUAAAUUAAGUUCGCAGUUGAUAAAUAGAGUUGGGCGCUUUAUUUAUAUUUAGACUGUAGUUAAUUGUUAUAAGUGAAUAUGAAAUAGUUCACUCAAAGCAAGGAUAAAUGGAUGAAAGUACUACACAUUUUAUUCACAAUGAGGUCUGCUGUACCGUACAUCCGCCUUGGCCGUACAGCAGUAAAAAUAACAGAAUUUUUUCUUUUAUUUUUUACAUUUAUUAUAUCUACACCCACUUAUACCUAACUUGUAUUAAUCCGCAAGUACGAUCUGUUUGGGGAUAAAUUCACCAUAUCUGGUAGGCAUGUCNNNNNNNNNNNNNNNNNNNNNNNNNNNNNNNNNNNNNNNNNNNNNNNNNNNNNNNNNNNNNNNNNNNNNNNNNNNNNNNNNNNNNNNNNNNNNNNNNNNNNACACCAUGGUCGAUGAAAUUGGUAACUCUCUUUAUCUAUGCAGAUGAUUUAUAUUUUUAUAAUUUUUUUUUCCUUUUCAAAAUCCUGAAGGUACAUGAAAAUUUAUAUACACCAUGAUUGCAUGCAAUGCAGGGUAUUUUAAUUGCUGAUCUGACGAAUUAUUAUGAUUACUUUUUUGCUAGCUAAAAAAAAAAAAAGCAUAAAACAGAUGUCGUUUUUAGAUUUUUCUUCUUUGUAAAUUUGUGUCACACUCUUGAGCAUAGUUAGAAAUAUCUGUGAAGUGAGUUUCAUAGUCAUGGCUUCAAUGACACAUAUCCAAAUUCAUUACAAUUAAUUAAUUGAUUUCCUACUUCUAUCCCUUUUAAAAAAAAUUAACAAAAUAAAAGUACUUGUUUAGUUAUCUAUUUAGGGGGGGGACGACUAUUGCCAUUUAUUGCUCUGCCCCUACCUCUAUAUGCCUCUUUGGGAGGGCUCGCACUGUCCCAUAAUAUUUAUUUCUAAACAAUCACAGUCAUUAUCUUAAAUCAAUAAAAAUAACAGAAUUUUUUCUUUUAUUUUUUACAUUUAUUAUAUCUACACCCACUUAUACCUAACUUGUAUUAAUCCGCAAGUACGAUCUGUUUGGGGAUAAAUUCACCAUAUCUGGUAGGCAUGUCUUAUUAAUGGCUAAAAGCUUCCAUAUGCAUAACCUCUUUAAAUUGUGUCCCCUUUCAAAGAAAAUUUUCUUUUUUGUCCAUUAGCUUUUAUUUACUCUUCACAAAUAUUUUUAAUGUCAUAUUAACCAAAUCUUGUAAAUUCAUCCAUUCAGCUGAACUACUGGGACUUCCUCUGAUUCCUGCAUACUCUGAAGCUUCCGGUGCACAAGUGCUUCACGGAGUCAACUAUGCUUCUGCCGCUGCUGGACGACAUCACCGGAAGAAACUUCGUAAGGACUCAUAUAUCUAAUUCAAACGAACCAGGAUUCCCUUUUGAUCUGAAUUUUAAUUAGAGGAUUUUAUAUCUAACACGAGAUCCGAUCAUUAGUAGAAAAUUUUUGCUGCAUGGUCAGGUAGGUUGCAUACCGUUUGAUCAACAAAUAAGGAAUUUUCAGAACACACUUGAUCAGGUCACUGAUAAUCUCGGAGCAAGUGAUGUAUCAAAUGCAAUUGCAAGAUGUAUAUUUUUUGUAGGAAUGGGCAGCAAUGACUACCUAAACAAUUAUCUCAUGCCCAAUUACAAUACCAAAAAUCAAUACAAUGCUCAGCAAUAUGCUGAUCUUUUGGUUUCAGAAUACUCAAGACAACUCACAGUAAGAUUCAAUUUCACUAUAUUUACAAUUUUUACCAUAUGCAUGCAUUUUAGUUACUUUAUUUUUUUAGCUUGCCCAGCAUCGUGGGUGCGUCUUUGUUCUUGGUGGCAGGCAACUGAGCGGCAAUCUCUGACGCUGAGAGCUUUGCUCCAGGACCAGCUUUGGCUAUGAUCUCCAAAAGUCCCAGCUUAAUUACUGCUUUCAUGGUCAUGUGGAGCACUGAACCCGUCAUCACUUCACAGGCAUAUGCAAAGUUUUCGUCUCUCGCUUCAUUAGCCAUAUUUUCUUGAAUUUCCUUAUCUGUUUUCCUCAGAAACAAUGCAUUUAUAGUGGAGUGAAGAGUUACUGUGUGUCCAAGAUUUUAGGUUGUAAAAUCUGACCCCGAAGUUUUCGAUAGUUCAAGUUACUGCUGUACCGUACAUCCGCCUUGGCCGUACAGCAGGUUCAGAAGAAGUGAAUCAACUUGUUAUGCCUUUUAAUGCAAAUGUGAAGACUAUGAUUAACAAUCUUAAUGCCAAUCUUCCUGGUGCAAGAUUCACCUUCAUUGACAUUGCCCGCAUGUUUGAAGAUCUCCUCACCAAUUAUAGAUCAUACGGUAUGCAAUUUUCCCACUAAACAUAUCGUAUUGUAGUUAGAUAUGAUGUGUGCUGUCUAGCCUAAAAUCUUUUAUUUUAAAAUGUGCGGACACUGACAAAAGAUAAUAAAGAUUUCGUCCUCAUAUUUUAAAAUCAAGGAACAAUUUACAGUGGCUGAACUAGGAUUUUGAUUUGACAAGCACGGCCUAGAGGUGGAAAUAACGGAGAAAUUAUCGUCUUGCUGUGCUACAAUAAAAGCAAGACAUUUUAAAAUUAAAUUUAAAUAAGUGCAUAAAAUAAGCAAAAUUUUACUUAAUAGAAUAAUGUUUAUGAUCACUUUUUUUU